rnacentral:rRNA from 1 species
CAAUCCUACGGGAGGCAGCAGUAAGGGAUAUUGGUCAAUGGGGGAAACCCUGAACCAGCAACGCCGCGUGAGGGAAGACGGUUUUCGGAUUGUAAACCUCUGUCCUCUGUGAAGAUGAUGACGGUAGCAGAGGAGGAAGCUCCGGCUAACUACGUGCCAGCAGCCGCGGUAAUACGUAGGGGGCAAGCGUUAUCCGGAUUUACUGGGUGUAAAGGGAGCGUAGACGGCAGGGCAAGUCUGGAGUGAAAGGCGGGGGCUCAACCCCCGGACUGCUCUGGAAACUGCCAGGCUGGAGUGCAGGAGAG